ACAGCCAGAGAGCACUUCAUAACGAAUAAAUCUUUCGCCUUUUACUAAAAAUUUCCGUGGAGGGGGACUCACUGAUGGGUCUGUAAAGAAAUGUUAUUAUUUGUCUUUUUAUUUUUUUAUUAGG